rnacentral:rRNA from 1 species
GAUAAACGCUAGCGGCAGGCUUAACACAUGCAAGUCGAGGGGCAGCAUAGAUUGUAGCAAUACAAUUGGUGGCGACCGGCGCACGGGUGCGUAACGCGUAUGCAACCUACCCGUCACAGGGGGAUAAUCCGGAGAAAUCUGGUCUAAUACCCCAUAACAUAUGGAUCGGCAUCGGUUCAUGUUGAAAUUUUCGGAGGUGACGGAUGGGCAUGCGUAGCAUCAGCUUGUUGGCGAGGUAACGGCUCACCAAGGCGACGAUGCUUAGGGGGACUGAGAGGUUUUCCCCCCACACUGGAACUGAGACACGGACCGGACUCCUACGGGAGGCAGCAGUGAGGAAUAUUGGUCAAUGGGCGCAAGUCUGAACCAGCCAUGCCGCGUGCAGGAUGACGGCUCUAUGAGUUGUAAACUGCUUUUGUACGAGGGUAAAGUGGGUUACGUGUAACCUUUUGAAAGUAUCGUACGAAUAAGGAUCGGCUAACUCCGUGCCAGCCGCCGCCGUAA